rnacentral:tRNA from 1 species
AAGAUUUUAAGUUAAUUAAACUAAUAACCUUCAAAGUUAUAAAUAUUAUUUUAGUAAAUCUUA